rnacentral:rRNA from 1 species
CCUACGGGAGGCAGCAGUAGGGAAUUUUUCACAAUGGGCGAAAGCCUGAUGGAGCAACGCCGCGUGCAGGAUGAAGGCCUUCGGGUUGUAAACUGCUUUUAUCAGCGAGAAAUAUGAUGGUAACUUAUGAAUAAGGAUCGGCUAACUACGUGCCAGCAGCCGCGGUCAUACGUAGGAUCCGAGCAUUAUCCGGAGUGACUGGGUGUAAAGAGUUGCGUAGGUGGCAUAAGAAGUAGCUAGUGAAAUCUGGUGGCUCAACCAUUCAGACUAUUAGCUAAACUGUUAAGCUCGAGACCGUUAGGGGUAACUGGAAUUUCUAGUGUAGGAGUGAAAUCCGUAGAUAUUAGAAGGAACACCAAUAGCGUAGGCAGGUUGCUGGGACGGGUCUGACACUAAGGCACGAAAGCGUAGGGAGCAAACGGGAUUAGAUACCCUUGUAGUC